UGACCCGUUAGUUAUUUUUAGCUCUAGAAAACCUCCUCAUCCGAAUAAGAAGAGGGGUAGGAUUAUUUCUGCGAAUGAGAAAUCUAAACCCUCAGAUGACGAGAGGGGUGCGCCUCGAAAGCAAAAGAUCUCAAUGAAGGAGGCUCAUGUUGUUGUUAGUGGAGAUCAGAUUUCUCCAUUAGGCUUUAAUGAUGAAGAUGUUUAGCUUAAUUAUGCUGGUUGUGACGGGCUCUUACUUUCCCCAUUAUUCAUAUUUGUGUUCGCUUGGAACUGCCAAGGAGCUGAAAAUAAAAAAUUCUUAGUUGUUAUAAGCGAAUUUAUUCAUCAGUAUAAUCCUUUGAUUUGUAUUAUUCUCGAGUCAAGAAUUAGUGGUGAUAAAGCAUUAAGAAUUAGUGGUGAUAAAGCAUUACAUGUGAUUAGAAAGUUGGAGUUCUCUAAUUCCUUUAGAGAAAAGGCUUGUGGCUUCUCCGAUCGAAUCUAGGUGAUGUGGAACAAGAAUAUGGUCCGAUUGCAAAUUUUAGAAUUUAGUUCUCAAUUUGUGCACUUCAGUUGAGGUGAGGGGUCUUCUUUAAAUGUUUGUACUCCUGUGUAUGGUAAUCCUACUCCUAUUGCUAGAACGCUUCUUUGGGAUAACAUCUGUCGAAUUGCUACAAGAAUUAGUGAGCCAUGGGUUUUGAUUGGGGAUUUUAACGAUUAUUUGAAUUUGAAUGAGAAAAUAGAGGGUACUCCCCCCUCGCUUGUGAAAUGCCUUGAAUUUCGCCGAUGUUUAGAUGAUUGCUAGUUGUAGGAUCUUAGGUUUGUUGGCACUCAGUUUACUUGGCAAUGCAGUAGAGUCAAGGAACAUAUUGAUCAAGUGGUUUCUUCUUUAUCUUGGAGAGUUAAAUUCCAUGAGGCUGUUGUGCAUCACUUCCCCUGCAUCAAAUUUGACCAUUGCCCCCUAUUGCUAUCUCUAUUUGGUGCUCACUCUCCCCUAGUUAAUAGAAAGCCUUUCCGAUUUCAAAUGGCCUCACUUACCCAUGCUAGUUUUACAAACUUUGUUAAAAAUAAUUGGUCUUCUCACAUGGACUUGUCUCAGAAUACUAGUAAUUUUAUUGCUAAAGUCCAAGAGUGAAAUAAGAACAUUUUUAGUAAUGUGUUUAUUAGAAAGAAAAAGCUUAUUGCUAGAAUUGCUGGCAUCGAUAGAGCUUUAGGGACUAAUGACUUCAAGAAUCUUCAUGAGCUUCGGCUCAUCCUUUCUAAGGAGUUUGAGGAAAAUUUGCUUCAAGAAGAAUUAAUUUGGUUCCAAAAAUCCAGAAACAAAUGGCUUCUUUUUGGCGACCGUAACACACAUUACUUCCACAAUUCUACCAUUUAUCAGAGGCGUCGUAAUCAUGUUGAGGCUUUAAAAAAGAUUUUCGUAUUUGGAUCCAUGAUGCUAAUCUUCUUAAAUCUAUGGCUGUCUGUUUUUACAAUAGGCUUUAUAUGGAAGAAGGCGGUUCAAUGCUUUAUGGACUUCCUGAGAUGCAUUUCCCACUCAUUCUCUUUGAUUAACAACUCCAUCUUUUAGAGGAAGUGACUUUGGAAGAAACUCGGAGAGCUUUUUUCGACAUGGGGGCCUAUAAGGCUCCUGGUCCGGAUGGGCUUCAACCUAUUUUUUAUCAAACUCAGUGGAGCACAGUGGCAAAUUCCCUUCACAAUAUGGAAGCAUUCAAUUCUAUGAGGAGAAUGUCUUCUAAAAAAGGAUGUAUGAUCAUCAAAGUCGACCUUGAGAAGGCCUAUAACUAGCUGUGAUGGAGCUUUAUUAAGGAUACUUUAGCAUUGGCGAACCUCCCUAAUAUGUUAAUUAAUAGAAUUAUGACCAACAUUACAACUCUUAACAUGCGUGUCUUGUGGAAUGGUGAAGCAAAUGAGAAUUUUCAACCAUCUAGGGGCGUUCGCCAAGGAGACCCGUUGUCUCUUGUCCUUGUAUGGAGCGUCUAGCUCAUAUUAUUGAUCGUUUCAUGCAGGAUGGUAAUUGGAGUCCUGUCCACAUUAAUCGUGGUAGCCCUAGUUUGACUCAUUUAUUUUUUGCAGAUGACCUUCUCCUAUUUGCGGAAGCUACUCUCAUAUUUCCAGUAAGGAAGCGGCUAUUGAAGGUGAUCCUAUCAGUUGCAUCAGAAGUCGUUGUCUCGAGAUCCUCGCUAGUGAGGAAAGUCCUAAGCACCUUCCUAUACAACGUCCGUUGCGAACUAUGGGUUUGGUGGAGUGGCUUCCGCCGAAUAGUGGCAAAGAGAAAUUGAAUGUUGAUGGCUUUGUGAUUAUGCAUAAUGGGCAUGCUUCUGUAGGUGGUCUAAUCAGGGAUGAGUUAGGCUCUUUGGCCUGAGAAAAAGGCUUCAGGAGAGUUGACCUGGAGCUUGACUCCUUGGAAGUAGUUAGAAUUAUCUCUGAUGAUCUUUCUUUGAUGGGAAACAAUGGCUCUUUACUGGCUUAAAUUAAGACCCUAAUUUCUAGAUCAUAGGAUGUUAGCUAUGCUCAUGUGUUGAGAGAAGCUAAUUGGCUUGCUUAUGCAGCCCGUGAUACAACCUUAGAAGUGCAAGUUCUGAUUGCCCCCAAUUGACCUAUUCCUGUGUUGUUGAGUGAUGCUAUUAAUUCUUUUUGUUUUUUCUUU